rnacentral:rRNA from 1 species
GACGAACGCUGGCGGCGUGCUUAACACAUGCCAGUCGGACGGAAAGGCCCUGCUUUUGUGGGGUGCUCGAGUGGCGAACGGGUGAGUAACACGUGAGUAACCUGCCCUUGACUUUGGGAUAACUUCAGGAAACUGGGGCUAAUACCGGAUAGGAGCUCCUGCUGCAUGGUGGGGGUUGGAAAGUUUCGGCGGUUGGGGAUGGACUCGCGGCUUAUCAGCUUGUUGGUGGGGUAGUGGCUUACCAAGGCUUUGACGGGUAGCCGGCCUGAGAGGGUGACCGGCCACAUUGGGACUGAGAUACGGCCCAGACUCCUACGGGAGGCAGCAGUGGGGAAUAUUGCACAAUGGGCGGAAGCCUGAUGCAGCAACGCCGCGUGCGGGAUGACGGCCUUCGGGUUGUAAACCGCUUUCGCCUGUGACGAAGCGUGAGUGACGGUAAUGGGUAAAGAAGCACCGGCUAACUACGUG